UGGGCAGUAUCGAAAUGAACUGCACCGUUAUUCCAAGCAGGGAACAAUAAUAAUUUGGAUUCUGCCUUGAUCCAAUAAUGGACUGGGACAGAGGG
rnacentral:ncRNA from 1 species